AUGUUUACAUAUACACUCACCGGCCACUUUAUUAGGUAUACCUGUCCAACUGCUCGUUAACACUUAAUUUCUAAUCAGCCAAUCACAUGGCGGCAACUUAGUGCAUUUAGGCAUGUAGACAUGGUCAAGACAAUCUCCUGCAGUUCAAACCGAGCAUCAGUAUGGGGAAGAAAGGUGAUUUGAGUGACUUUGAAUGUGGCAUGGUUGUUGGUGCCAGAAGGGCUGGUCUGAGUAUUUCAGAAACUGCUGAUCUACUGGGAUUUUCGCGCACAACCAUCUCUAGGGUUUACAGAGAAUGGUCCGAAAAAGAAAAAAUAUUCAGUGAGCGGCAGUUCUGUGGGCGGAAAUGCCUUGUUGAUGCCAGAGGUCAGAGGAGAAUGGCCAGACUGGUUCGAGCUGAUAGAAAGGCAACAGUGACUCAAAUAACCACCCGUUACAACCAAGGUAGGCAGAAGAGCAUCUCUGAACGCACAGUACGUCGAACUUUGAGGCAGAUGGGCUACAGCAGCAGAAGACCACGCCGGGUGCCACUCCUUUCAGCUAAGAACAGGAAACUGAGGCUACAAUUUGCACAAGCUCAUCGAAAUUGGACAAUAGAAGAUUGGAAAAACGUUGCCUGGUCUGAUGAGUCUCGAUUUCUGCUGCAACAUUCGGAUGGUAGGGUCAGAAUUUGGCGUCAACAACAUGAAAGCAUGGAUCCAUCCUGCCUUGUAUCAACGGUUCAGGCUGGUGGUGGUGGUGUCAUGGUGUGGGGAAUAUUUUCUUG